rnacentral:lncRNA from 1 species
CGGUUGCUUCCUUCCUGGCGGACACGGAAGUUGACCUCUCCAGUCAUCCGGUGAUUUGUGCAGGGAGGGGAAGGGAGCGCACCAGGCUAGGUGCUGACGGGACGUCCCUGUCAACACAAUGUUCCGCCUGGCCGGGCCUUCAUAUAUAAAGAUAUUUAAUGAAUUAGUUAAUUAAUGAGAGGAGUUUGAUUGAUAGAUCAUAUGGCGCUCGCAGCAGGGUGAGUCUGACCCCCGAUACUGCCGCCUCGGCUGCAAUCCGUCCCCCUCAUUGGUCGGGAGAGCGCGGUCGCUCCGGCAAUUUGCAUGCAUUUAAUGUAGCUCUUUAAUAGGAUGUAAUGUUAGCGAAAGCCAAAAGCGCAGCAGCUGUAACUUAAAAGACAGCCCCAUUACUGCAAGCCUUAUAAUUAGGGUAAGAGGGAGACUCGGUCUGCCAUAUGUUAAACUCUUUUGAGGUUAAUAGCUCUGUAAGAUUUUUGCAAUUUAAAAAAAUUACACUUGAAGGAUGAUGACAAGGCUCAUCAAUGAGGCGCCUCUCCACCGGAGGGAAGGGAUAGGAGGAGCCCGUGUCCCCAAAGCCCUCUUCCCCGGGGACCUGGCCAGGUGGCCCCUCUCCCGCCACAAGUCGCUCUUGGCCCCACCCGCUACCCGCACCCCGUCCCCAUUAGCGCCGGGCGGCUGGCUCAGCAACAUGGAAUCAGAACUUGCCCACCUGGCUCGGCGCAGCCCCCGCAGCCCGCGCAUCCUCUGGUCCCCGCAUCUGCUGAGAGAGGAGGGAGGGCUGACGCCAGGCGAUCGGCGCGCACCGGGCCUGGGAGCAGGCGCAUGCUUACCUUGCAAAGUCCUGGGCAACUCCAGAGCAAUUACGGGUCCCCGCAGGUUCCCGGGCGCUGAUUGCACAGCCGGGGCCCGAAUCAGGGAACGCGCAGCAGGCGCUGCCCAGGGUGGGGAGAGGAAAUCGCCGGGAAUUUGCUUGGAAUUAGAACACAAUUUAGCACAUUGCUGAUGUUCAAUAAAUAAUGAGUAAAGGACA